rnacentral:rRNA from 1 species
UCAGGAUGAACGCUGGCGGCGUGCCUAAUACAUGCAAGUCGAGCGAAUGACGAGGAGCUUGCUCCUCUGAUUUAGCGGCGGACGGGUGAGUAACACGUGGGUAACCUGCCUGUAAGACGGGGAUAACUCCGGGAAACCGGAGCUAAUACCGGAUGAUAACGAGAAGCGCCUGCUUCUUUUUUGAAAGUCGGUUUCGGCUGACGCUUACAGAUGGGCCCGCGGCGCAUUAGCUAGUUGGUGAGGUAACGGCUCACCAAGGCGACGAUGCGUAGCCGACCUGAGAGGGUGAUCGGCCACACUGGGACUGAGACACGGCCCAGACUCCUACGGGAGGCAGCAGUAGGGAAUCUUCGGCAAUGGACGAAAGUCUGACCGAGCAACGCCGCGUGAGCGAUGAAGGCCUUCGGGUCGUAAAGCUCUGUUGUCAGAGAAGAACAAGUACCGGAGUAACUGCCGGUACCUUGACGGUACCUGACCAGAAAGCCACGGCUAACUACGUGCCAGCAGCCGCGGUAAUACGUAGGUGGCAAGCGUUAUCCGGAAUUAUUGGGCGUAAAGCGCGCGCAGGCGGUUUCUUAAGUCUGAUGUGAAAGCCCACGGCUCAACCGUGGAGGGUCAUUGGAAACUGGGAGACUUGAGUGCAGGAGAGAAAAGUGGAAUUCCACGUGUAGCGGUGAAAUGCGUAGAGAUGUGGAGGAACACCAGUGGCGAAGGCGGCUUUUUGGCCUGUAACUGACGCUGAGGCGCGAAAGCGUGGGGAGCAAACAGGAUUAGAUACCCUGGUAGUCCACGCCGUAAACGAUGAGUGCUAGGUGUUGGGGGGUUCCACCCUCAGUGCUGACGUUAACACAUUAAGCACUCCGCCUGGGGAGUACGGCCGCAAGGCUGAAACUCAAAGGAAUUGACGGGGGCCCGCACAAGCAGUGGAGCAUGUGGUUUAAUUCGAAGCAACGCGAAGAACCUUACCAGGUCUUGACAUCCUCUGACCACUUGAGAGAUCAAGCUUUCCCCUUCGGGGGACAGAGUGACAGGUGGUGCAUGGUUGUCGUCAGCUCGUGUCGUGAGAUGUUGGGUUAAGUCCCGCAACGAGCGCAACCCUUGACCUUAGUUGCCAGCAUUCAGUUGGGCACUCUAAGGUGACUGCCGGUGACAAACCGGAGGAAGGUGGGGAUGACGUCAAAUCAUCAUGCCCCUUAUGACCUGGGCUACACACGUGCUACAAUGGGUGGUACAAAGGG